GAGUUAGCGUGGCUAACCUCCACCGCUAACUUCUCCAACCUCGCACUACACCGUCACACUUUGAUCACUUUUUCUGAAUGAAUGUCUGACUGCCAUUACCAUAGCAACCAAGCAGACGGCAUGUUUCCUGAGUAUCAAACCCAAACGGAGCAAAAAUGAGGGGAGCGAAGGCUGCGCCCUGUGGAAGGACAGCAGAGGACCCCGAACCAGCGGGGUUCCGUCUGAUGUGUUCUGCUGAAACCCCGCUGGCUCUGUCCAGGUCUGGAGGCUUGGCCCGGGUCCGGUUCCGCUGGGGGUGGAGCUUAUCCUUCAGCUUCAUGGUGAGGAAGACGAUCUGAGAGGCUGAACAGAAAACCUUCAUCAACAAUCCAUCAAAAUAAAAGCCUCUCAGAUCCAGAAGUUCCCAUCCUUCUCUUCAGGACUGGAUGGAAUCUCCUCAAACCAUCAGAGCCUGGAAUAUCCUGGAAUGUCCUGGAGGAACCUGGAGGAUUCGGCCAGCCUGUUUUCCUUCAUGAUUCUGGAGUAACUUUUAUUAAAUAUGUUUUUUCCAUGGUA